rnacentral:tRNA from 1 species
GUCAGAAUGGCCGAGCGGUCUAAGGCGCCAGACUCAAGGUAUAGCAACCUUACCCGUUCGUGACGGGUAGUCAAGAGGAUUCUGGUCCUCUCUGAGGGCGUGGGUUCGAAUCCCACUUCUGACA